rnacentral:antisense_RNA from 1 species
CUUCACCGACCCCAGCCACAACGGCCGCCCGUCCUCCGGCCGCUCCUUCCCGUACGUCGCCAGGAGCGCCUGGGCCUC